rnacentral:ribozyme from 11 species
GAUUGAUACGUUUCUGUUCUUUCAUUUGUAACAUCAUUUUUUUCUUUUUUUUUAUCAUUCGUGUCCUAGGUGUGCAAUUGGAUGUGGGAGGAAAGUUGGAUCCGACUGAAGAUGAAUAACAUACAGAAUAAUC